GACGAACGCUGGCGGCGUGCUUAACACAUGCAAGUGGAGCGACGAACCGGGGCUUGCCCCGGGGCAGAGCCGCGAACGGGUGAGUAACACGUGGGUAACCUGCCUCAAUGAUUGGGACAACCCCGGGGAAACUCGGGCUAAUACCAAAUGUGUUCACUCCUUCUAAGGGGAGUGAGGAAAGGAAGCUUCGGCCUCCGCAUUGAGAUGGGCCCGCGGCCCCAUUAGCUUGUUGGUGAGGUAACGGCUCACCAAGGCUUCGAUGGGUAGCUGGUCUGAGAGGACGAUCAGCCACACUGGGACUGAGACACGGCCCAGACUCCUACGGGAGGCAGCAGUGGGAAUCUUGCACAAUGCGCGAAAGCGUGAUGCAGCAACGCCGCGU
rnacentral:rRNA from 1 species